GUCGUGAGAUGUUGGGUUAAGUCCGCAACGAGCGCAACCCCUACGUUUAGUUGCUAACGCGUGAAGGCGAGCACUCUAGACGAACUGCCGUUGACAAAACGGAGGAAGGUGGGAUGACGUCAAUCAUCAUGCCCUUAUGUUCUGGGCUACACACGUGCUACAAUGGCCGGUACAGACGGACGCAAAGCCGCGAGGUGGAGCAAAUCCGAAAAAGCCGGUCUCAGUUCGGAUUGCAGGCUGCAAUUCGCCUGCAUGAAGUCGGAAUCGCUAGUAAUCGCAGGUCAGCAUACUCGCGGUCGAAUACGUUCCCGGGCCUU
rnacentral:rRNA from 1 species